GGUCACGUAGCCAAGUGGUAAGGCAGAGGUCUGCAAAACCUCUAUUCGCGGGUUCGAUUCCCGCCGUGACCUCCA
rnacentral:tRNA from 2 species